ACAACCUACGGGACGCAGCAGUGGGGGAUAUUGCACAAUGGGGGAAACCCUGAUGCAGCGACCCCGCGUGGGUGAAGAAGCGCUUCGGCGUGUAAAGCCCUUUCAGUGGGGAAGAAAAAGGACGGUACCCAAAGAAGAAGCACCGGCUAAAUACGUGCCAGCAGCCGCGGUAAUACGUAUGGUGCAAGCGUUAUCCGGAAUGACUGGGUGUAAAGGGAGCGUAGACGGUUGUACAAUUCUGAUGUGAAAGCCCACGGCUCAACUGUGGGAGUGCAUUGGUAACU
rnacentral:rRNA from 1 species